AGUGAACAGCCCGAUCUUAUAAUAAGGUCUUUUCUAUGAGAAAAGUGCGAAGAAGUUGGUUUAAAAUGUCCGACUGACAUUAGCAGAUGUCUGGCAGAAACGAUCUGAUAAAGGUGGAGAAUGAACUUCCUGGUAGAGGACAAUGUUUAGCUGUAGACCUUUGUUGUGACACUGGAUUUUCCUGUUUAAAAAGAUUAGAACGCCUUGGACGUUUGAUCUUGUGCCAAUAACACUCUAACCGAAUGAUAAUAAAGAUUGAAUUUGGUAAAUACCACAUCUUCCCUCUUGCUAACGAGUAGCUAAUUUCAUUGGCAGGCUAACAGCAGUCACGUGGAAACCAUGUAUAUUCCAUACACGAUUAAUUAGAGUUCGCUUCCUAUCAACAUCGCUUGUGAAUAUGUGUCAGCGAUGUCUGUUGCUUACAUCAAAGAUAUCUUUCUGAUCAUCAGGAGGAAUCCGACAUCGACUUUUACAAGUUUAAAUAAAAAACAAGGGAAAAUAUUGGUCCGUCCUACAUAAACGACAAAGAUGAAACAGAAGCUGUCUCGGGACGUGUAAUUACUGUACCCCGUAGCUGGGUGGCAUCUGAUCUAAUCAAACCCUAGCGUGACCACUUUGUUUAAUUAAUAAACAACAAAUCAAAAAUGACUAUAAGUUGCACUGUUUGUGUUAGCAGCGCGGAGAAAUCAAUUUUUUGGGACCAAGCAAUCGACAUUGUACCCAGCACGUCAUAGAGUCUACGCAUAGAAGCUACUAAGAAUAAUUGGAACUAAAAAAACAAACGUACAAUGUAGGACUAGAUUGGACGUUUGCGAAAUACAGUAUUGGCGCUGUAAAUAGUUAAUCGAGGUUACAGUUUAUAUAAUUGUAGGAGUAACAAUGGAUUCAAUUUGAAAUCGAGUACCCGGAGUUACAAAAGGAAACGGAAGUUGUAAAUGGAGUUUAGGAGGAGAUAACGUGUAGAAAUCGUUUUAAAAAAUAUCAAUAUCGGAGUUUUUAAUGGACUUCUAAUUUAAGCUGUUGUGUGGUAAACGACCCUUUGUUAAAUACUAGGGUGUAAUGGAGCACAGUAUUAGUGGCAUCGGUAAAAGAACGUGUAGAAAAUAUAUAUACAAUUUCAUACUGGCACUGAAAGUAUUAGAGUAAAAAACAUAUCAUAAUCUCUCCGACAUCACGAAGAGAAAAAUCCAAUACAUGUACUGUAUUCGAUCUGUAAAACUCGACUUGUACAAUAGGUGCAACCUCGCUCUAAUGAAUUAUUACCAAGCUUUUAAAGCUCUACUCGACAUAGGUGGAGUUUUCAAUUUCCCUUUUGAUAUAAUUCACUAAUUCAUUGAAGAUGAGCUCUUUUGUUUUUUAAUGUCUAACUAUUAGUCUAAAUAUUUGGUCAUUAGUUGAUUUAACUAUUUGAUUUUUUUGUUCAUUGAGAGAAGUGUGACUGUUGUGUUGUUAAUCAUGUCGCGGGUAUCAUUCAUCUAUUUUAAUGGCAGCGUCACGCACCUGCUAACUUGUAUGAUGAAUGUGCAUAAGCCAGCGCGGAUAGGGUAAUGUUGCAAGAAAUAUAUGCAAUUUGAGUUCAAUUUUCACCCCGAUUCAUUAUUAAUUGACUACCCUAUUGUGAAUUUUUCAAACAUGAUCUCCUUUUACAGCUUUCAUAAUUCAUUAGCAUGCAGCCAACAGUAUAAUUUAUUUUUUUCUUGUGAUUUAAGCAAAUAUUUUGCAAACGAUUGUCAUUUUAAGUAAUUUUUAUCAUAUAUGUACAUAUGAACAUGUAGGUGAAAUUGUAAGUACCAGGGAUUGGGAGUGGUUUAUAGUUAUACAAGUACUUAAACCAUUUACUUGACCUUUUAGUAAAAAUAAAUGUAUCUUAUGAAGCAUUUUAUAUUUUUAAAAAAAUAUAUGCCGGAAAAAUAUUUCAAAACGCGUUAAAAAAUAGAAAAAAAUCAAAAGGCCAGUCACUUCUC